AGUGAACGCUGGCGGUAGGCCUAACACAUGCAAGUCGAACGGCAGCACAGUAAGUGCUUGCUCUUACGGGUGGCGAGUGGCGGAUGGGUGAGGAAUACAUCGGAAUCUACUUUUUCGUGGGGGAUAACGUAGGGAAACUUACGCUAAUACCGCAUACGACCUACGGGUGAAAGCAGGGGACCUUCGGACCUUUCGCGAUUGAAUGAGCCGAUGUCGGAUUAGCUAGUUGGCGGGGUAAAGGCCCACCAAGGCGACGAUCCGUAGCUGGUCUGAGGGGAUGAACAGCCACACUGGGACUGGGAACAGGUCCAAGCUCCUAGGGGGGGCAGGCGGGGGGGAUUAUGGACAGAGGGAGAGAGGCAGCAUCAGCCAGCACGGGUGGGUAGAAAAAGCCUUAGGGUUGGAAAGGCCUUUUUGUGGGAAAAAAAACAAAGAGGUUAAUUCCCCGGUGUUGCGGCGGUAACCAAAGAAUAAGCCCCGGGUAACUUUG
rnacentral:rRNA from 1 species